AUAGAUUUCAAUUUAAGAACAGAUGCGCCUCCUUCUCCCCAAAAUUUCACGUCUCUCUCUCUCGUCGAUUUGCCGGCGCUCGGCCAGUAACGGUGCCACCAUUCACGGGUAAGGUUCAGAUUUUCAGGCACCGGCUCGCCGAGUAAGUGGAGAAGAGUGCAGCGAGGUUUGCUCGGGGCAGCGGCUGCCGAUCGUGAGUGACAGCAGCGGCGGCAACCCGAGAGGGCAGCAACUGCACGUGUGUGUGUGUGUGUGUGUGUAUGGCUGCCGUGAGUGGCAGCAGCGGCGCACUCCUCCGGACGAGACAGCAGGGGCGCAGUGGCGACACUGGACAGCUCCGGCAGCGGCAGUGGCUGUGUGUGUGCGCAAGGUGCCGGAGUUUCAGUCCGUACCUCGGGCAAAGGCCCAUCAGGCAGCGCGUUGUUGAAGCGCACAUACCCCUCAAAGCUAAGUCUCAACUUGUUUCUUGCUUGCUUGCUAUGAUUAUCUCAAGUAAUUAGGAUUUACGGUACUUAAGGCUCUACUUGAUUCAUUCUUUCAUUCAAAGGAUAUUGGAGGAGUUAGAAGUUGGUCUUCAUGAUAAAUCUUUUUUUUUUCCUUGGCACACGAGCUUGAUAAAAAAAAACGUUGGCAUCUAUUAUUGUUGCUAAGUUCAAGAGCACCAAAGGCUAAAGCAUAAUCUUGAUUCCUAAUAUAAGCAUGCUUGAAAAGUGUCCAUGAAAGAAGUUAAAUAUGCUACGUGAAAUUUGUUGUUGGGAUUUAAUGAGAAAUGAAUCUUGUAAAGGAAAGAAAAUGGUAGGGCUUGCCAUAAUAUUUGAGCAUUCUAUGAUUCUUGUUCAUGCAUGGUCUAAUGAUAUGAAUAGCUAUGAAUAAAUUUGAUGCUUGAAGAUUUUACCUUGAAGAAAUGAGGAAAAAGUAGGGUGGAGGGACUCGGCUCCUCUUCUUCAAGCACUCAUUUGAAGAUCCUCGCUUUGAAUUAAAUUUGAUGGUGGUUUAUGGUGGAACAAAUGAUUUAAGAGUAUAGAUAGAGUGGUAUUUAUAGAGGAAAUGGUUGCAUAGAAAAAUAUGGGUAAUUCUCUAAUUCAUGGAAGCAAACUAUUACACGAGAGUUAGUGACUUUUGAUGUGAAUCAAAUUGUAGUCCUUUAUUGCAUUAUGUUAACGCACUUUUUAAGAUGAAAAAUGGACUCAUUUUGAUAAAUUGUAGGAAAAAGGAUCAAACUAUAAGAGAGAGCGGAGAAAGAAAACAUGGUCCGAAUCUGAACAGUAAUCAGCCCUUGAAGAUCAAUUUCAAAUGCUUCUACAAGUCCACCAUUGCAUUCACCUUCGAAAGAGCUUCGCGUGGAUACCUCGCACGCCUCAAUCGGAGUCCGGAUGAAGAAGAUACGGUUGUUUUAAGAAAACUGCGCAGUGCAGUGAAAAAACGCCCGGCCGGGCAAAGUUGACUGGGCCUAUUUUUUCAGCCCAAACUAUAUAAAAAGCUAGGGCACGACUUCCUAUGGGACUUUUGGCGGCUGGAACGAUUUUUGAGAGAGAUUUGGAGCUUGGAAGCCAUACUUGAAGAAGAAGAGCAAGAUUGAAGCUUCAUCCACCCAAGCCUUGUCCCCCACGGUAUCUUUAGCUUGUUUCCUUGUUAUUGUGACCACCAUGGGUGGCUAGAGCUUGGGAUUACUCCUAAUUUGUAGUAGGGUUGUUGAACAUGAACUUCUUUAUUUGAAUUUUUAUGAUUUCCUUUGCUUUUUA